UGAGCCUUUUUACGAAUGUUGGCCCUUAAAUCACCCGUGGCCCCACUCAGCUUCUACAUCACCCCCGUGGCUCUGUACUGCUGUCAGCGGAGCCCCUUCCAGCCGCCGCACGGUGAGGCCCCUGGCACACAGUAAGCGCUCUGCGAAAGUUCACGAGCAAGCCUAGAGGCAGCUCUAUUCCAAGGGACUUGAGAGAAUGGACAGACUGGACAGCGCCUGCUCUCAAGAGGUUCUUGUCUAACCGAGCACAGAUGCAAGCUAGCAGAAAAGCCGCAAGUUAGCCUGGACCAAGGGCGUCUCCUAGACGUGGAGAGAGCUUUGCAACAGUUCCUCCACGAGACCGAACUCCUUGAGACCAAGGCAACAUGGCUUAACUUGUUCUGUGUCCUCAGAGCCUCACACGUAAGGGGCUUAGCAAAUGUUUAUGUGCAUAAGGAUGUUUAUAGUAGCACCGUUUCUAAUAGCUGAACAGCGAAAACAAAAGAGUAAAAAGCAGGGAAAUGGGUGAAUACAAUAAGGGCAUCCACAGGUUAGACUUUUUCAUAUCAUGCUCGUGAAAACGUGCGGCUGUGGGAAAACGCUAACGACAAAUUAAACAGUAAAGGUGACAAAACGA